CGCUAUGAUGACGACAACAUGGGGCUCUUGAGUGUGUGACCACGACUACCAGCAUGAACCUCAACACCUUCUUUGCUGUUCCACUAGUGUGACCCAUGAUCGGAUACAAGUUGUCAAGGAUAAACGGUGAGAAUCAUGUCAGCCCACAGACAACCGAUUGACCUGUGAGUCUUCAAGCAGUAAUGAUGACUACGCCUGCCUUAAGUUCCAGUUUCCUGAACAUCGUGGCAUGUCUGCAGGAGAUUCUGUCCCCACCUGUCUUCAGUCUGGACCUAAUGACUCAGACACCAGUCUUGUCGAGGCUAAAUCGAGAGAGGAUCACCUGAUGUCAACAUACGAGUUUUCAAGAAGAACUUCCUGAAUUUUGUGUCUGUGUGAGACUCUACCAUGCUGGGUGCCCUCUUCAGUCAAGUCUGGACACAGAGACUCAUUGCUCUUCAUCAACUCUGGGCAAGUGGCUAAUCUUUUGCUUAUUCAUGGGAUAUCCUUCAUGUCCACAUCCUGUUUCUUCACGAUCUCAACAAUGCUUUGUGAGUAUACAACACAUGUGAGUGGAUCAGUUCAACCUGUUUUUCACAGAAUGUUAGUUUCUUAAGGUUUUCAUCAACGAUGGUUUGUAUCUUGUUUUCCAAAAGGUGUUAUUAAGAUAUUUCCAUUUGUAAUUUACAAUAAUCAAAUGUUGACUGUAAAAUCUAUGCCAACCUAUUGUUAUACACUGUACCAUGUUUUUGCAAAGGAAUUCUGGUGACUUUAGUUGCCAGCAACUUCCUUUGAACUUUGUAAUAAAAUACCGUAACUGUAAUAAAGUU